UACGUAGGGUCCGAGCGUUGUCCGGAAUUAUUGGGCGUAAAGGGCUCGUAGGCGGUCUGUUGCGUCGGGAGUGAAAAUUCACAGCUUAACUGUGAACUUGCUUCCGAUACGGGCAGACUUGAGGUAUUCAGGGGAGAACGGAAUUCCAGGUGUAGCGGUGAAAUGCGUAGAUAUCUGGAAGAACACCGGUGGCGCAAGCGGAUUGCUGGGCCG
rnacentral:rRNA from 1 species